AUUUACUGUAUUUUAAUUUGAAGCUGAUUUCCCCCUUGUCCUGUCACUCCAUCCCUUUUAAACAGAACCUCUCCAUCUUUCUUGUGGGCUCCCUUCAGGCACUGGAAGGCCACAGUUGGGUGGACAAAAGCUUCUCCUUUCCAGGAGAAUAAUCCCAGUUCUCCAGACCUUUCCUCACAGCAGAGGUGCCACUCCUUUGAACCCAUGUAGGUUACUGCUGUGUAAGAACAUGUGGACAAACUAGGCAGCAACCCUAAGCUCUUUUUAUUAACAAAAGAUUUCUCUGAUGGUCAGCAGACUGUAAGUUACUAUGAAUUUCAUCCAAAAGAUGCCAGACAAGUGAGUCUCCACAUUUCCUAGGGGGAAAUAGCCCUGGCCUGUGGCUGAGCAUCCACACAGCCCCACCAUGCCCUAAGAACAAGGGAGAGCAAAAGCUGAAAAUUAUGAAGAUGAAGAUCAGGACAGUUUAAUUAGUGAAGCCAAGCUGCCUGUGUCCCCUCCCAGCUUCUGGCACGCCCCAGGCCACUCUAAAAAAAAAAGAAAGCCUUGACUUGGUGCAAGCCCUGCCCAGCAAUAUCCAAAUCUCAGCUUGUGACCAAUACUGCUCCAGAGCUGCUCCAUGGGGGCUGCUCUGCAGGAAAUUCACUCUGUCCCAGCCAGAGCCAGCAGAACAGCUCACAUUUAGUGUUCACAUCACUGCUCUUUGCAGCUGGCUGAAAUAAAUCCCACACUGAUAUUCUGAGUUCCUCACAUCAGUGUUACUACAUGGAAGGUUUCCAUCUUCCACUCUUUUGAGUGGUGCAAUACUGCCUUGUGUCUGUCUUGUGCCACAAAUCCCUGCUUUUCAUCCCUGAGCCUGUGGCAGCCUCUCAACCAGCACAACUCUGUGGAUUUUAGUGGUGCUGUGUUGUUUGGCAGGAGCUGAGUGUGGACAGUGCCUGUGAUUUUUAGGAUCAAAGCACUUUUUGAGGUGACAUGGAUAUUCUUCUGGCUGUGUCUCUUCAUUAUUUCAUUUAAAAUGACAGUAUUUGUGGGGAAAACUGUGUAAACACCCUGGAAUCUUUAUCUCCUCUUUAUUUCCUGUGUGUACUGAUGUGUUAAUAGGUAGCAGAGAUAAACAACUUAGAGAAGGAGUAAAGUAAAGGUGGUGCCUAUACUAUAUAUAGUAUAUAUUGCCAGUGGUGCAAAGUUGUAAUAAGGGGAUAAAGAAACCUCAAGUGAGAAGUCAAGUUGAAUUUCCUGAUAAUGCAUCCAAGCAACACUUUUCUGAAAUGCCCUUGUCAGUUUAGUUGGUAGUCAGGAAAAAAUGGAAACAUGCUGCCUUGACUUUGGGAGAAAAGUUGUGCACUGGAAUGUGGUUUACAGAGACAUCUAAUUAGAAGGAUUUGAGAAGACCAGCGUUUUUUAAGUGUGUCUCUCUUACUAAUGAUAUACAUGAGUCUUCAGGCCAUUAAAACAGCUCAUUUCUUUUGAUGGACUUCCAGUUUGUGGAGGAAGCAGCUGCUUUUACUACCAAAUUUCUCCUGUCUAAUUAGACCAGUUGAGUCAGCCAGCUUAAAUCAGCCCAUAGCUUACCCUUUGCCUCUUCACUGAAGAGCUGAAUAACCUAAUUGUAAAGAAGGACAGAAAAUGUCAGAAGAUGUUACAGUUGUUACUGGGAAAUGAACCAGUGCAGGGUAAAAAAUACAAGGGAAAAAAAGCUGUUAACACAGAGGGCCUCCUGAUGAGCUUAUAAUGAAAAUCCCUCUGGAAAUUCUCAAUAUCCUCUCUUUGUUGGAAAAUGACGGUGCAUCAGAGUAGAAAGUUGUUGAGGAUUUUACAGCUGGGAAAGCCCAGCUGAGUGGGUGACCAGGGCUCUUCAAACUCUGCAAGACCCAAGCUGAAGUUCUUGAUCCGACUCAAGGACUCAGGCUCGGAUCAUCCUCACCUCAGUGAGGAGUCACUUGUUGCUGGUUUGCCAAGAACAAAACCAAGCAAAAAAAAAAAAAAAAAAAAAAAUCCACCUCCAAAACUCAGAGUUGAAUUUUCUCUCUGCCUCAGAAUAAGGUGGAAAACCUGUAGAAGUGCAACUCGUGCUUUUGUGAUAUGAGUUACUGCUUCCCACCUUGCUUCAAUAAUAAUUCUGUAGAUAACUCCAAAAAGACAGGAUUCCCAAAAUGCUGAAUGACUCUGAUGCCUUAUUUUAGUAUGUCCUGAAAAUGUGAAUCAAAAUUCACCUUUUUUUUUAAACUUCAAAUCAUUUUAAUGUGUACAUUUAAUUUUUUUUUUAGUCUGUGAAAUCAAAAUUAAUCAAAUGGGUGGUAUUUAUACUACAAUUAAAGUACAUAUAUCAAUUUUUUUUUUCUGGUUUGUGUGUGAAGAGUUUUUCUCUUAAAAACUCUUGAUUUUUCCGUGGAACAUAUUAUUGAUGAAACAUUUAAUUGUGGUUAGCAGCAAUACUCCUGCUUUGCUCAUGCUACUCUAUAAGCUUCAACUAAUCCAUAACAUAAAAUGUAGGUCAGCUGGAGCUUUUAAAAACAGAUGGAAACUCAGGAGUUUAUGGUAGUGCAAUGGAUGUAUGUCCCUGUGAGGCUGAAAAUUUCUCCAAAUGCAAAAAAAAAAAAAAAAAAAAAAGCAGAAAUCAGAGUGCUGAAAGGUGCUCAUUCUACCUGAUUUCCAUUCCAGAACCAGCACUGCCCUGUGCAGUGGCUUUUGUUUGUAACAGAUACGCCUGUUCUUCAGAGAAAGUUCCUGUCAUGCAGCUGAGCUAGACUGAGCUGAAAAAAUGGAAUUCGUUUGGAGUCAAAUGUAACAUUUUGAGUUUCCAAAGUUGACUAAUGAUCUGUGAUUGUAUUCUUGAUACCAAACUCUCUGUCAGCUUUUAAAUUGCAGUGAUUAGGGCUGAAAACAUUUUUCAAAACCCAAGAAAUGUCUGUCCUCAUGUCUGAAGGCUGGGGACAAAGCGUUGUCUUGUGAGCGUGUGAACCAUGGCAGAAGUCUGCUUUAGAUAAAACCCUGUUUCUAAUAGUUUGAGAAAAGGGUUUUUUCCCUCUGCAGUUUACAGGAGACAUUUCAUCACAUUCCAGUUUGACCUAGAGUUUGUGAUGAUGGUCACAGAAGUUUUUCCUUUGUGCACCAAGCUCUUUGGACCAGAUCUUGCCACGAGGCCCAGUGUGGAGGAAGGAGAUGCUAAAUAACUUCAGCUGCUUCUGCUGUAACUCUAGAAAGCCCCAGGGCUCCUCUCUAAUUCUUACACAGGUGGACAGCAGGAAGGAGCCAAAAUUUUACUUUUGCUUUUUCCCUUUUCCUCCUUCUUGCUCUGGGUAUAGAUGAGUGGGGAGGCUGGGAGGAGGAAGGGAGAGAUUUGCAGUGAAAGGGGACUCUGAGCAGCAGCACAGGAGAGCCAGAGCAGAACUCUCUGAGGGAGGAAGGCUUUCUGUCUGCAGGGUGACCCAGCUGCAUCCACGCUUGGCAGGGAAGGCAGAUGGGGCAGUUCAGCUCAGAACAGCUGCUGGAAUAUUUCAGAAUAUCUCCCACUUGAAGAUUUAGAUUUUAAUUUUUAUUUUUUCAAAGAGAAGGGGCUGUUGUGAAGGAUUCUGGUUUUAUUUGUUUGUAAGACUGUGAAUAACACUAUUUGUACCUUGAUGUAUGAAGGUACUGCAAUUAUGAGAAAUUGCUUUCUGCCUGAUUGUCACACAUAAACAGCUUUCAUCUCACAGUGCAUCAGGCUCGUGACUCCAGUUUGUCAUUCCAGGGAAUGUGUCAGCCUUUCAUUUCAAACUGGGUUGGCUUUUCUUUUGUCAGGAAAGACCUUUCCUGUGCACUGAAGUAAUAGAAACAAAGGCAAUUAAAAAAAAAAAAAAGAUAAGGCAGCAAAAAAACAAUUAUCAAAGAAAGAUUAGGCUGUGGGUAUUGCUUGGAAAAGACAAUUCUACGAGAUUCAGAAGAAAGAUGAAGCUGUGCGUCAUUCAUUCUUGUUUUUUUUUUUUUUUUUUCCUCCUUUCAUAUUUCCUAAGGGUUGAAGAUAAAUUAGGGUAGCUAUUUUCUGUGCAGGCAAAGUACAAGCUAUGCCCCAGAUCUCCAAAAUGCUUCAACAUGUAAAUACUGCUUCUGGAGCCAUCAGGUCCUGCUGCAAGUAGAGAUUUAUUUGCAUUCAUGUUUGAAGGUUACUUUCGUUCGUUGACCUAUUUAAUUGUCAUUCUCUAUCCCUGGCUGCAGGCAUAUGGCUCCGUGUGCCUGUGGAGGGAAGAGGAACAGCUUUAACUCUCUCAGGCAGAAACAUUCCACAGGAAAAAACCCAAUAACUGAAUCUUAACAUGAAUGUAGCAUGGCAAUCAUAAAAAGAAUAACAAUAAUAAAAAUAAUAGUAAUAUAUUAAGAAUAAGAGUAAGAAUAAG